rnacentral:rRNA from 1 species
CGGCGGACGGGUGAGUAAUGUAUGGGGAUCUGCCUGAUGGCGGGGGAUAACUACUGGAAACGGUAGCUAAUACCGCAUAAUGUCUACGGACCAAAGCGGGGGACCUCCGGGCCUCGCGCCAUCAGAUGAACCCAUAUGGGAUUAGCUAGUAGGUAAGGUAACGGCUUACCUAGGCGACGAUCCCUAGCUGGUCUGAGAGGAUGAUCAGCCACACUGGGACUGAGACACGGCCCAG